rnacentral:rRNA from 1 species
UACAGAGGGUGCGAGCGUUGUUCGGAAUUAUUGGGCGUAAAGCGCUUGUAGGCGGCACGUCAAGUCGCGUGUGAAAUCCCCAGGCUUAACCUGGGAAGUGCGCGCGAAACUGACGAGCUUGAGUGUGGGAGAGGUGAGUGGAAUUCCUGGUGUAGCGGUGAAAUGCGUAGAUAUCAGGAGGAACACCUGUGGCGAAAGCGGCUCACUGGACCACAACUGACGCUGAGGAGCGAAAGCCAGGGGAGCAAACGGG